rnacentral:rRNA from 1 species
AGAGUUUGAUCCUGGCUCAGAUUGAACGCUGGCGGCAGGCUUAACACAUGCAAGUCGAGCGGUAACAGAGAUAGCUUGCUAUCUGCUGACGAGCGGCGGACGGGUGAGUAAUGCUUGGGAAUAUGCCUUAUGGUGGGGGACAACAGUUGGAAACGACUGCUAAUACCGCAUAACGUCUACGGACCAAAGGGGGGGAUCUUCGGACCUCUCGCCAUUUGAUUAGCCCAAGUGAGAUUAGCUAGUUGGUAAGGUAAUGGCUUACCAAGGCGACGAUCUCUAGCUGGUUUGAGAGGAUGAUCAGCCACACUGGGACUGAGACACGGCCCAGACUCCUACGGGAGGCAGCAGUGGGGAAUAUUGCACAAUGGGCGAAAGCCUGAUGCAGCCAUGCCGCGUGUGUGAAGAAGGCCUUCGGGUUGUAAAGCACUUUACAGUUGUGAGGAAAGGGGUGUAGUUAAUAGCUGCAUCCUGUGACGUUAACAACAGAAGAAGCACCGCUAACUU